UAGAGAAGUGAAAAAAACCUAAAAUCACACCAGUUGGCUCUCCCAAUUUCUCAACUUGACCCUCAUUUUCUUGUUUCUUCUUCACACAAAAAGCAUCAGCACCUGCACAAUCAUCAUUCUCUCUCUCUCUGGUAAAAAAGACAUGACAAUUUGCAUUAUUUUUGCCCCAAUUGAAACCCCUCCUCUUUACAUGCUUUUCCUCCUCAGAAAAUGUGUUUUUGUUCAUCAUUCUCCUUCUUGUUGGCCCUCCAAACCCUUGUGAUUGAUCUCUACCUUUUCCAAAUAUUCACUUUCCCAUUAUUAUAUAUACACACACUUCUUAACCCAUAGCUACCACUCAACUUCUCUCGAUCUGUUUUCUAAGACAUACUCCUUAGUUUUCAACAAAAAUGAAAAGAGCAGCAUACUAUAGUGCUGUACCCCAAAUGCAGGAUCUUUGGCCUAUCAAGAAGGCUCUCACAUUGUCUGAUGUAGAUAUCACUCAUCCAUUUCUCACUUUGUCUCGGCAACAAGUAGAGAACCACAUUGUAUUGCACAUGACAGCACAACAACAAGACCAUUUGAGAGCCCAAGGCCAAGUAGAUUUUAAUGCCCGAGAUGAUGAUACAGGUGAGAUGUAUGUGAUGAAGUUGAAAUGGCGGGGAAGCUAUUACAAUCUUAUUGGUAAGUGGGGCAGAGUCGUGCGAGGGAAAGGACUUGAUGUUGGGCAAGAGAUUAAAGUACGUUGGGAAAAUGGGUGCUUACACUUCUCGGUCCCGCAGCAGCAGAUCGUUGCAGUCCCACCAAUUCGGAUGGUGGCAGCACCCGUGGUGCAGGACCACUGGCCCAUUAAGAAGAUCUUGACACUCUCUGAUGUGGACACUAAUCAUCCAUUUCUCCCUCUGCCCCGUCGGUUAGUUGAGGAUCAUAUUCUUGUGCAUUGGACAGCUCAGCAACAAGAACAACUGAGAAAGGAGGAGCCUGUGAAUGUAAAUGCCCGAGAUUAUGAUACCGGCGAAGGUUAUAUAAUGAAAUUUAAGUGGAGGGGAAAUUACUGUAACCUUAUUGGGAAAUGGGGAACAAUAAUUCGGCAGAAGGGACUUGGUGUUGGGAAAGAGAUCAGGUUGCGUUGGGCGAAUGAAUGCUUGUUCUUCUCAGUUCCCCAGGAGCGGUAUGUUGCCACGGCUUCGGGGAUGGAUAAUUGGCCUAUUAAGAAGGCACUUACAUUGUCUGAUGUGGAUACCAAUCAUCCAUUUCUUACUUUGCCCGGCAAGGCUGUUGAAGAUCAUAUUCUGUUUUACUGGUCACAGCAAGCCCGAGAACAACUGAGAAAUGAACAUCAGAUAAAUAUUAAUGCUCGAGAUGAUGACACUGGUGAUCCUUAUUUGAUGAAGUUAAGAUGGCGGGGAAGUUACUAUAAUCUCAUUGGAAAAUGGGGAAAAAUCAUUAGAGGGAAAAAACUCCAGGUUGGUAUAGAGAUCAGACUACGCUGGGAAAAUGGAUGCUUAUUCUUCUCAGUUCCUCAAUUGUAGCAGUGGCGCCGACCUGUAGAUGUAGGAGAACUACCAAUUCGCUUUUCCCAUUUCAUGUGUCAUUUCAACAUGGAAUGCGCAUUGGAAAUUAAAAUAAUUUCAGGAAAUAAUUCAUUGAAGUAGAUGGUUUAGCAGAGCUGGAACUAAAACUAUCCAGGCAGCAAGUGACUGGCACAUGGGACUGACCAAGCACAAAUUUUAUCAGUGGUAAUAUUUAUCGAUUCAGCAGCACUAAGAUGGUGCUGCGAGUGAUCCACAUCUGAAAAGCAAAAAAGAGGGUCCCUGGCUCAACUAUUUCGGGAGCCAGCAUAAUCUAACAGUGUUUCAGCAUCAUUUACAUGUUUCAAAUUACACCAACAAAGCAAUUAAAGUUAGCACUCAGCUUUGAUCUUCAUGAUUGAGUUAAUCUUCCUUUCAAAAUACCUUCUAUUCUUUCUUUUGUAAUGUCCACAAUAUACAUGCUGGAAUAGUGGGCCAACUUGUUUCUCAAACCCUUGUUUCUACAUAUGUUGUUCCAACGUUCUAGCAGCUCAGUGAAAAGAUUCAUACCAGUUCCAUAAUACUCGCAAAUAGAUGCCAGAUCUGUGUAAGGCUGUAGAGCAAUGUAGACACAAAUGAUUGGCACUUUCAGCUUUUUCUCCACACAUGUAGAACCUAUACUGAGUUGAUAUCCUCUUCUUUAUAAGUUUUCUUGAGUCAGGCAGAGGCAAGCUUCCUGAGUGACCAAGCACUCUAGGAAGCCACUUUAUAGAGUGCUUUUGACAUCCGUAUCUGCUUCAAUGGUCAUCGACCAAUCUGGUCUGGUCCUCUCAUCGGAACUGAAUUGAUGUGACUCUGAAGAUUCCUUUGUUUUGUGCUUCGCAAGACAGCUGGUCUGAUCCAUCAGAGAAACCUCGGGAGGAGCCCAAGACAAUGAAGAAAUUUAUCAUGCUUCCUAUUUCCCAAUCAUUGAAGUUCCUUCUAAACAUGACAAUCAAUUUGGUCCUUCUUAUUCUAUACUCGCAUGGGAAAUAAGGACAUGUAUGAAUAGAGUUCAAAAUACUGUUGAUUAGAAUCAUAUGACCUCCCAUUGACAAUAUUGUCUCUUCCAACUGGCUCUCAAGAUUCCAAAGACAAAUUACCCCUGCUUUAGUUAAACCUGAUCAAUGAUGGAAUUUCUCCAGACCAACAGAUCGAUUUUCUGCUGCACAUUGUUCAGUGACCACUACAACUUUCUCAUGGUAUAUAGCAGCAUCUGUUCGUCUUUGGGUGCAUGAUGGUACGUCAGCGUGAAUAACUAGACGAUUCCAGCUACUUGAAAGUCUUUAACCAGUCAUGAUCCUAAUAAGCACAGCUACUGCAGUCAAUAUGACCUCUACGAGAUGUUUAUAAAUUGAUCCUUCAGUUCAACCAAUUGGAUAUUCCUCUUUUGUGGUGAUUUUUUUGUACUAAAUUUACUGGGAACCUCAGAGUUUUUGGGCUCUCAAAGGAGAGAGGGGAUAAGGAGAGAGAGGGGAGCCUUCGUUGUUUUGGUUUAAUGGUAAAAGUGCAGUGUAAUGUGUGGAUUAAGCACACGUCACGGGUUUGAACUCUGCCGCAGACAGCCUGGUAUUUAAGUGAUGAAGAGUAAAGAGGCGGGUACAUUAUCCACUAAGUUUCGAACCAUGCACCAGCUGGCUCUCAACAAUUUAUUGGUUAUCCAAAAAAAAAGGGGAGAGAUUCGGGGAGCAUAUACCGAUGGAAAAUGAAGGGUAUGUGUCCCUGCGUAAUUUGCACAGUUGAGAACUAGCAAAGCUGGGUAUCAGUAAGUGACUGCAGCAUAGGAGUCAUUUGCUGUGCUAGUCUGCUGAAACUGAAAGCAGUAGACAUGAUUGCAGGACUUGAUCCAAUUGCUUCACUGGCCGCACAAGAGUAUUUGGCAUCUGCUGAUGGUUCAAAAUAAGCUAGAAGCUUAACUAAAGUUACUGUUAGGCGAAGGACGGCUGCUGUUUGAUUGUGUGUUUAAUUUAGUAGUGAUAUUUUCUAGAUCAUGAUUGGUUAGGGCAUCUCUCAUUUGUCACACGUCAGAGAUCAAAGCUGUGCCAUGUAGGAUAAGGUUGGGAAUGUUGUUUGUCUUUAUAUUUAUGGUUUCGUUAGGAGAAGAUUGAGAAGAGCAUACACCUACCAGGAUGUAUGCUAAUUGCCUAAUCAAGAUUUUCCCUUUUAAGAUUGGUCAAGGAAGCUCAAGAGCCUUGUCAAAAGUGGUGUGUGCAAGUCAUCCUCUCUCUAUCUCUCGGUCGUCAAAAAUUUGGACCAGAGAAAUUUGCUGGAUAUGACAAUUCGUUUUGCUAAUUGUGAAAUUAGUGUAGGAUACUAUGUAAAACUGGUGACUUGUACAGUUUGGUAGCAUGUAUGUUUGAGUUUAACUAGUUAUAGAGAGUAGUUCUCCUAGUUCCUUAAUUGAGCUUUGACCUCCACAAUGUCGAAGAUCAGGAAACUAAUGUUUUACAUAUUUCUCAGAACUAGCAGUUCCACGGUUGGCAACUGCUUAAAAUGAGUGGACUCUUACAGAAAUUCUAGAUGGGAAGAUGUGUUAUCCCUAUUUGAA